CUUUAGGCGGUGGGAAAACUGUAAUAUGUUUUUCAACGCUUGGUUGAAACCGCAGGAGUAACAGUACUACAGGCCUACAGGCACCAAAGUCUGACUGCCUCUGCUGAUGAUGGCAAAAACUGGAUGUUCGAGCCACUACCAAAGUAUUGCACGAGUGACAUCAUGGAUGAUCAAAGUCGAAUACACAGCCAGUCAAGUAAGCCUCGCUUGUACUUCAUUGCCGCAUGCAGAAGUCAUAUGUCGUCCUUGUGGUUCUUUACAUCUCGACAAUUUGGCGCCGAGCGGACAUAACGUGACGCAUACUCGACGAGUGACCCGUCAUUUCGCAGCAGCUUCCUCGCAGAAUCGCUACUGGCCUGGCACAAUAGGUCGCCGCCGAC